CCUGAUUGAUUCUUUCAGCGCUAUAUGCUCAGUUUAAAGAUUAAGCCAUGCAUGUCGAGUUCAUCUAUAGAGAAACUGCGAACGGCUCAUUAGAGCAGAUGUCAUUUAUUCGGAACGUCCUAUUGGAUAACUGCGGUAAUUCUGGAGCUAAUACAUGCAAUAAAACCCUGACUUUUGGAAGGGUGCAAUUAUUAGUGCAAACCAAUCAUCUUCGGAUGUUGUUUGCUGACUCUGAAUAACGCAGCAUAUCGGCGGCUUGUCCGCUGAUAUUCCGAAAAAGUGUCUGCCCUAUCAACCUGAUGGUAGUCUAUUAGUCUACCAUGGUUAUUACGGGUAACGGAGAAUAAGGGUUCGACUCCGGAGAGGGAGCCUUAGAAACGGCUACCACAUCCAAGGAAGGCAGCAGGCGCGAAACUUAUCCAAUAAAAAUAAGAAGACCAUUCCUAUGGAACGGUCAUUCCAAUGAGUUGAUCAUAAACCUUUUUUCGAGGAACAAGUGGAGGGCAAGUCUGGUGCCAGCAGCCGCGGUAAUUCCAGCUCCACUAGUGUAAAUCGUCAUUGCUGCGGUUAAAAAGCUCGUAGUUGGAUCUGAGUUACAUGCAGUGGUUCACCUUUGGUGUUAAUCGCUGUUGUGAUUUAGUGGCUAGCGAGUUUACUUUGAAUAAAUUAGAGUGCUCAGAACAAGCGUUUGCUUGAAUGGUCGAUCAUGGAAUAAUAAAAGAGGACUUCGGUUCUAUUUAUUGGUUCAGGAACUGAAAUAAUGGUUAAGAGGGACAAUUCGGGGGCAUUCGUAUCCCUGCGCGAGAGGUGAAAUUCGUGGACCGCAGGGGGACGCCCUAAAGCGAAAGCAUUUGCCAAGAAUGUCUUCAUUAAUCAAGAACGAAAGUCAGAGGUUCGAAGGCGAUUAGAUACCGCCCUAGUCUCAACCAUAAACUAUGCCAUCUAGCGAUCCGAUGGGGUAUUGUUGCCUUGUCGAGGAGCUUAUAAACGAAAGUCUUUCGGUUCCUGGGGUAGUAUGGUUGCAAAGCUGAAACUUAAAGAAAUUGACGGAAUGGCACCACCAGGAGUGGAGCCUGCGGCCUAAUUUGACUCAACACGGGAAAACUCACCCGGCCCGGACACCGUAAGGAUUGACAGAUUGAAAGCUCUUUCUCGAUUUGGUGGUUGGUGGUGCAUGGCCGUUUUAGUUGGUGGAGCGAUUUGUCUGGUUUAUUCCGAUAACGAGCGAGACUCUAGCCUGCUAAAUAGUGGCUGAAUUUUCAUGUUCAGUCUACUUCUUAGAGGAUAAGCGGUGACUAGCCGCACGAGAUUGAGCGAUAACAGGUCUGUGAUGCCCUUAGAUGUCCGGGGCUGCACGCGCGCUACAAUGGAAGAAUCGGCUGGCUAUCCAUUGCCGAAAGGCAUUGGUAAACCGUUGAAACUCUUCCGUGACCGGGAUAGGGAAUUGUAAUUAUUUCCCUUGAACGAGGAAUUCCUAGUAAGUGUGAGUCAUCAGCUCACGCUGAUUACGUCCCUGCCAUUUGUACACACCGCCCGUCGCUGUCCGGGACUGAGCUGUCUCGAGAGGACUGCGGACUGCUGUAUCGAGGCUUUCGGGUCGCGGUAUGGGGAAACAGUUCAAUCGCAAUGGCUUGAACCGGGUAAAAGUCGUAACAAGGUAUCUGUAGGUGAACCUGCAGAUG
rnacentral:rRNA from 1 species